rnacentral:rRNA from 1 species
GAUGAACGCUGGCGGCGUGCCUAAUACAUGCAAGUCGAGCGAACAGAUAAGGAGCUUGCUCCUUUGACGUUAGCGGCGGACGGGUGAGUAACACGUGGAUAACCUACCUAUAAGACUGGGAUAACUUCGGGAAACCGGAGCUAAUACCGGAUAAGAUUUUGAACCGCAUGGUUCAAUAGUGAAAGACGGCCUUGCUGUCACUUAUAGAUGGAUCCGCGCCGUAUUAGCUAGUUGGUAAGGUAACGGCUUACCAAGGCAACGAUACGUAGCCGACCUGAGAGGGUGAUCGGUCACACUGGAACUGAGACACGGUCCAGACUCCUACGGGAGGCAGCAGUAGGGAAUCUUCCGCAAUGGGCGAAAGCCUGACGGAGCAACGCCGCGUGAGUGAUGAAGGUCUUCGGAUCGUAAAACUCUGUUAUCAGGGAAGAACAAACGUGUAAGUAACGGUGCACGUCUUGACGGUACCGGAUCAGAAAGCCACGGCUAACUACGU